rnacentral:SRP_RNA from 1 species
GGGGUCCUGCGCAAUAGGGUGCCGUGAACCUUGUCAGGUCCGAGAGGAAGCAGCAAUAAGCGGUUAACUCUAUGUGUUGCAGAUAAGC